UGCACACCUGACGCAUAUCUGACUCAUUUGGAGGAGUAUAUCUGGAUGGAGCUGCCGACACUCCAGUGCCAGAGUGUUAGCCAGUUAUGGUUGCCCCUCCGUGACGCCUUGGCCGCCUGACCCGAGUUACUUGCUGGAAGGUUUUUCCACCCUGGAUUCCUGUUCUUCCGCUUACCAGCCCACCCCCCUUCCCUGAGCCCCGGCCUCGCGGACCCACCAGUCCCAGAUCUCCAGCCGAGCUUUCCCCUGUACAUCCUCAAAUUCCAGAGAUCCAGCCUUUGCCAGAGAGA